rnacentral:lncRNA from 1 species
CGGUGGGGGGGAAGAGGCAGGUUAAGUCACCCGGAAGCGGAAGAUAAGACGUGCCUGCUGUCCGCCUGGCUGUCCGGGGGAGCGGCGGUGACGGCGGGCGGCGGAGGAGGAGGAGGAGGAGGAGGAGGAAGCGGCGGCGGCGGCGGGUCCAGGCCCCGGAACGACUCGAUGCCCAAGAAGCAGCAGAAACAAUUCGUUCGCAUAUGAGGGAAGAGAGCGAGAGCGAGCGAGCGCCAGGGAGACCCACGAGCCCCGCUUCCGGCUCCGGGCGGAAGUCCCGCCCCCAGAGGCGGAAGAGAUUGGCCUACGCCUGAAGGUUCGGCCCCAACCCUCCUCACCAUUCGCACGCCGCGGCUUCUUUCUAUCUCCUCCUCUCUCUCUCUCGCCCGCCUUCUCUCCUAGAGGCGAAAGCAAGAGGCUACGGGUGGAGGGGGGGAAGGAGGGAAAUAGGCCGGCAACCUUCCGCGCGCCUGAUUGGCCCGCGGCGGGGACCGCGCGCGCGAAACGCGGCGUGACGUCUUUCAGCGGGGCACGUGAGCGAGAGUGGGUGACGUCACUCCCUUUUGGAGAUGAGCGCGAGGUAGUGGGGCGUGGUUUCGGAGAAGGCGCUUUUCUUGGGCCGGUGGUCUGACAAUAUAUACAUGGAACUGGGCUACAUUAAUCUCUUAUGGUCAGAAUAAUGAACCACACCAUCUGGAAGAAGAAUGAAUGGGACUGCAAAUAAGACUUAGAUGUGCCCUGGCUGGAAUGGGCAUUAUCUAGCAAUGAUCAGCAGGUUUCAGGCGCCAGAUUGCAGGUGAGCAAAGGUGAAUGUGUUCUGCAGGAGCUCUUCAAGAAAACAAGGCAUUUCAACAGUUUGAUUGAGGGCCUAAUUCUGUAUUGCAGGUUACCAAGCAUUCUAGCUGAAAUUACAUGUGGUGCUUCAGAGGCAUGAUUCGGGCAGGCUUCCAUAUUUUAUGCACAUCCCCAGAUGGGACUGAAUAGUCUGAUCUCGGGAGAAGGACGAGAAGAUGCUUUUGAGAAGAUUGUGUAGCACUCAUCCAUCAUGAUUAUUAUAUGUUAUCUGUACCCACUGAGUCUGGAGCUACACAUUUUCAAUAACCCGGGUGAAAAAUUUUUACUGCGGGUUAACUGCAAACAGGCACAAGACUGGUUCUAAUUCACACCAAAGUCAUAGUGCUUUUUUCUUCAUUUUUAAAAAAGCAAAGCAAAAAAGUGUGCUGCUUAUAUAUUGCCCCAUAGUGCUCAAAGCACUCCCAGA